UUCCGACGCCCGUUCUUGGUCCAAGUCGACUGGUGCCGCACUGCCGUCGCCGCGUGCCUGGCCCAGCAGGACAACAAAGGAUAUGAAUACGCCGUUCAGUUUGCUAGUAAGGCUAUGACUGGCCCACAGCUGAAUUACAGCGCGGCAGAUGGAGAGGCCUACGCUGCCUUAUGGGCAAUUAAACACUUUCACCCCUACUUGUACGGCACUCAUUUUGUACUCAUCACGGAUUCGAUGGCGGUUCGGUCUUUGCGGACUGCACGCGCUCGAGAUCUUCUGGGAAAGCUGGCUCGAUAUGCGCUCAAGCUUCAAGCCUACGACUUUUAAGUGAUGCAUAAGGCCGGACGCAAGAAUUCAAACGUGGAUGGUUUGAGCCGCUUGGGACAUCUGAUGGAGCCCCACCGUAAUUUGCCUACAGAGAUCGACCCCAGUCCGGACCCACUUGAGGAUGCCGCCAUCUUGGCAUGCUCAAUUGCAGCCGUCGCCUCCGAGGUUCAGAUCCUCAUAACUGAACAGGAAGAGGAGUGUAGCCGCGGCAUCAGACCGGAUGAGCCGUCCACAGUGGCUGUACACCAGCCUCCGGCUCUAUCGUUGCCUACACCAGAGCACAACCCCUUGCGUGAAGCAACCAGACCCCUGGUCCCGCUUGGCAAGCGACGCUUGGAUAGGUCAGCUCGUCUGACAUCUGGAGCACCAGAUGAGA
rnacentral:lncRNA from 1 species